UUUACUUAGCGGGAAUCUUCGUGUAAGAUCAACAGCGGCUGUCUAGAUCAAUCUUCUCCUUGCUCAUCCCUUUCUUGUCCUUCACUUUUGUGAAUUUUUGUAUCAGUAGUUGCAAUAUACAACUUGUUUAGGAUACUGCGUCUAACUUGUACCAUCUCCUUUUUGUUGCUUUGGUUAAAGAAUCAAUGGUUCCAUUUAUUUAUUUAUGGGUGAAUUACCUUAGGGUUUUACUUAGCGGGAAUCUUCGUGUAAGAUNGCCCAACUCGUUCUGUAUUUUGACAAUUACAUAAAAAAACUUUUUAACUUUUAUUUUUUUU
rnacentral:misc_RNA from 1 species